ACCUCUAGCAUUACUAGUAUUAGAGGCACUGCCUGCCCAGUGACAUACGUUUAACGGCCGCGGUACCCUGACCGUGCAAAGGUAGCAUAAUCACUUGUUCUUUAAAUUAGGACUCGUAUGAAUGGCAUAACGAGGGUUUAACUGUCUCUUACUUUCAACCAGUGAAAUUGACCUGUCCGUGAAGAGGCGGACAUGAAACAAUAAGACGAGAAGACCCUGUGGAGCUUCAAUUUAUCGGUACAAUUAAGAACUACACAAGCCUACGGGCUCUUAAAUUCCCACACCUGUACCAAAAAUUUUGGUUGGGGCGACCUCGGAGUAUAACUAAACCUCCGAACAAUCCAUGCUAAGACCACACAAGUCAAGACAACCCAACACUUAUAAUUGACCCAAUAAUUUGAUCAACGGAACAAGUUACCCCAGGGAUAACAGCGCAAUUCUAUUCUAGAGUCCAUAUCGACAAUAGAGCUUACGACCUCGAUGUUGGAUCAGGACAUCCUAAUGGUGCAGCAGCUAUCAAG
rnacentral:rRNA from 1 species